rnacentral:tRNA from 1 species
UGCCCCAUGGCUGAGUUGGUUACAGCGUCCGACUGUUACGCACUGGCAUCGGAAGGUCGUGAGUUCGAGCCUCACUGGGGCAG